rnacentral:lncRNA from 1 species
ACAAUUUCAUCUUUAUAGACCAAAAGAAAUAGGCACUAUGUCCAUAUAUUAGACAUGAAAAGAUACAAUCAACACUAAAUAUAUCAGACAGGGAAACAAUAUUAUUUCUUUGAUCAUCAUCCCAAAUACACGACAAAGUAGACAUAGCUACAACCAGAUCAAUCAACUGCAAAAUAAUUAGCAAUCAUGACUACGAAAUGGUGCAAUGAGAUGUCCUAAUACAUAAAUAAAAUAUAGAAAAUUCAUAUCUUGAGUUUGGAGUUCUAUAAUCUAUAGAUAUUCUGCAUAGUAACCUUGAAGGAGGAUGAGAAAAGGCAUAGAAAUGAAAAGCUUUCUCUUCAAAAAUGAGGCCGAAACCUCCAUAACUUUGGUAGCACCUAUAAUUUUUUAUCUUGAAUUUACAGGUAAAUUAUCAUUGAGAUUGGAGGCCCUUCUUUCAUGAAUUGUAAGGCUUGUGCCUAUGUAGAAAUGUUGGAUACUCUUGAACAAACCGAGCAAUUUUCAGAAACAGAUCUAUAACUCCUGCCUCACUGGUAAAUGUUUACAUGUUGACCGCCUAGCCAUUUUCCGACCACUCAAGGAUAUCUCUUCAGAUAAGCUCCUGUGCAAUAGAAUCGAAUUAACAACAAUCAUUUUACAUAGCAGCCAUAAGCAUUAGAAAGUAAAAGAAUAGAUGUUCAAAAGUACAUAAGAUAAAUUGUUUAGAGAAUCGCCAACAAAUUCAACAAAUUGCAGCGCAAAUAUAUGAGCUCAAGCUUUAACGAAGUAAAUAGGUCCUCCAUAUUGCACCAGAAGGAAAAUGUAUUAAGAUCGUAUGAACUACAGAAGAAACAUACAAUGGAUCAUCAAAUAUACUCAUAAAUCAGAUCAGGUAAUUCAAGAACUGUAAGAGAUAUCUGCAAAAGAAAAUAUUACAAUAAAUAUUCAACGUUAUAAUUCUCAAGAUUUGAGAGGAAAUACAAUAUAUCAAACUUAAGAACACCGAUGUAAGCCAAAGAUGACAUUAAGAGCGAGGAUUUUUCAAUAUAUAGAUAUAUUAAUCUCCCGUACCACAUUCAACACAAAGAGAACAUUGUUAGCCAAAUUUAAGUAAUAAUAGAUGUGAAUUCAGUGUAUCCAAGGAAAAGUAGACUCAUUUCAACACAAGAAUAGUCAUGAAUAUAACACGACAAUUCCUAAAUAAUGGAUGGAAACUAAGAAAAGGUACAAAACUAUUUCUUGAAUCUCAAUAUUCAUCACUGCCAAACACUAUUUAUGAAUAAAACUAAAAGAGAAAGCUAAGGCCAUCAAUGUUUUAAUUUCUAGAAGGCAAUCAGGUCCUUCUAAGCUACUAAUGAAAAGGACUACAUAUAGGUUCUUGAAGCAAUUUACCCAUCAAAUCAAAUCGAACAAUUUUGUCGAUUUCUUCAUUCAUACAUAGUCCCAAACUCUGUCCCCACUAAUGACAAAGUAAAGUGAAAAUACCUUUGAAAAAGUGAAGAAGUGAAGGAUGGCGAUAACGUAUAAUAACGCUAAAAACGUAAAAACCUACCAUCUUUGAGAAAUUUCUUCACAGUCAGAUCUGGAUUUUCAUGGGAAGUGGUAAAAACCUACGAUCUUUGAGAACCUUCUUUGCAGGUCUAGAUUUUUAUCGGAAGUGGGAAGGUUUCUUGACGCAUAUGCAAUAAAGAGAAACGGUUACAAUAGAAAAAAAGGAGGGCAAGAGAGGAAAGGUGCAGCGUUAAUGGAACCGGCAGUGGUAAGCCAAUAGAAGUAAAGAAGCGACUGUUAGUGGAAAAAAGAGAGAUAAAAAUGAUAAGCACAUUAAGCGGAAAAAAUAGGCAAAAAAUGGGAAAGUGGCAAAAAAAAGAAGAAGAAAUGAGAUAAAUGUAAUUACUGGGAUUGAGA